GUUCUUAAUGUAAUUUUGUUAUAGAGAGCUGUUUGUGUUAGUAACCGGAAAAAAAAUGACGUUCACACCCAGAGGUUGGUUUAUCCACCGUACGCAUGCGCACUAAGAGAACAUUGACGUGUCACAUUGAAUACAAACCCCAAGAUUAUUUAGUUUAUUUCAAUCAGAACUUCAGUAUUAUUAUCUUUUUAUAUACAAUCAUUAAAUGUACUCUUUUAUACAUAGAAGGAAAAUUCGCUUAUAAUCUUACGUCCAUCGUUUACCGGGAUUUACAUCAAAGUGUUGGGGGGUUCUCAGAAAGGGUGACACGUACGGCCCAGAGUUGUGACGUAGUAGCUUUCCCCACCAGCUGGCCAACACAUGUAUUGAUUACUGGUACGGUGACACCUGCUCCCGGCGACCUGUGUGUGUGUGUGAGUAUGCCGCAGGUUGAAGAGGAAUGGAGGCGCGCAGCCAAGUCACUUCAAGGAUCGUGAAAUUUCCCACACUGUAUCUGGGCCGUAGACGGAAAACAUGUCGAGAUAACCAAGUCCUCUGGAUCUGGACCAUACUAAUUUAACUAUAAACACACAUUUAGUGCAGUUUUAAUGGCAGGUGUUAAUGAAUUUAUGAUGGUAGAAGCAGGAACAAAUGGUAGGGUAUCAAACGGAGGCGUUUUCGACAACACCAAAUUCUGUAAACAGCUGAAGGAGAAAACAUUAUAUAUCCCUUUACAAAGAAGAGGACAUAUACAGUUACAGGGUAUCAUGAGCCCGUCGUGUUGUGGAAAACGCCUUCUGAAUAUUGGCAUCUUGGUUUCGGAUUCUUGUGAGUACUAUCAACCUCUGUCCAGCAAGUGUCAACAACAGUCAUGGCACGUCAGAGAAAUGUCGCCCUAUAUUUGGAAGAUGUAAUUGACAAAUACUAGGCAAAUUAGAGAAGGAAGUUGGAGGAAAUAAGGGAUACUUAUUGUAACUAUUUCAAUAAUGUCGGGUCACUGGCCUGGUAGGAAACUAAAAUUCGGGGGCAUAAUUGAGUUGCAGGAGUAAUAUUAAAUGUUCUAAUAUAGAGCCAUAUUGCAAAAUGUACUGGAGUAAGGUGUUCAUUAAUACAAUUAGUACAUAAACUUACAAAGUUA